AUUGAACGCUGGCGGCAUGCCUUACACAUGCAAGUCGAACGGUAACAGGUCUUCGGAUGCUGACGAGUGGCGCACGGGUGCGUAAUACAUCGGAACGUGCCCGAUCGUGGGGGAUAACGAGGCGAAAGCUUUGCUAAUACCGCAUACGAUCUACGGAUGAAAGCGGGGGAUCUUCGGACCUCGCGCGGACGGAGCGGCCGAUGGCAGAUUAGGUAGUUGGUGGGAUAAAAGCUUACCAAGCCGACGAUCUGUAGCUGGUCUGAGAGGAUGAUCAGCCACACUGGGACUGAGACACGGCCCAGACUCCUACGGGAGGCAGCAGUGGGGAAUUUUGGACAAUGGGCGAAAGCCUGAUCCAGCCAUGCCGCGUGUAGGAUGAAGGCCUUCGGGUUGUAAACUGCUUUUGUACGGAACGAAAAGCCUCUUUCUAAUAAAGAGAGGUCAUGACGGUACCGUAAGAAUAAGCACCGGCUAACUACGUG
rnacentral:rRNA from 1 species